AUGCAAGUCGAGAGCUCCAUGGGCAAGGCGAAGGGGAAGCAGCUGCAGGAUGAGUACUACCACCUCGCCAAGGAGCAGGGCUACCGGAGCCGCGCGGCCUUCAAGCUGCAACAGCUCGACGACCGAUUCUGGUUCCUCCCGCCGGCGCGCGCCGUGCUCGACCUCUGCGUGGCGCCUGGGGGCUGGAUGCAGGUGGCCGUCGCCCGUGCCCACGCUGGCGCCUUCGUCGUUGGCGUCGACCUCGUGCCCAUCCACCCCGUCCGCGGCGCGCGCCGUGCUCGACCUCGACGCAGAGCCCCCGAGCCGUCUCCUGCGCGGGUCCUCCUGCUCGGGCUAAUGGAGGCACAUGCAGCGUGGCAACGCGCAGUAGAAGCCGAUGGACGAUAG
rnacentral:rRNA from 1 species